rnacentral:rRNA from 1 species
GCAAAAGAAGGGCGUAUGGGGGAUGCCUGGGCUCUCAGAGGCGAAGAAGGACGUGAUAAGCUGCGAAAAGCCACGGGGAACUGCACACGAGUGUUGAUCCGUGGAUAUCCGAAUGGGGCAACCCGGCUGGUUGAAGGCCAGUCACACCGCAAGGUGGGCAAACCCGCUGAACUGAAACAUCUAAGUAGGCGGAGGAAGAGAAAACAAAAGUGAUUCCGAUAGUAGUGGCGAGCGAAAUCGGAUUAGUCCAAACCGUUGUCGUUUCGGCGACAGCGGGGUUGUAGGACCGUGACAUUCUGAAUGUAAUGAACUGGAACAAGUUGGAAAUCUUGACCAUAGAGGGUGAUAGUCCCGUAUAGGUAAAGAACAUUCGGAUAACGGUAUCCUGAGUAGUGCGGGGCACGUGAAACCCUGUAUGAAUCCGGCGGGACCAUCCGCCAAGACUAAAUACUCCUGAGAGACCGAUAGUGAACCAGUACCGUGAGGGAAAGGCGAAAAGAACCCCUGAGAGGGGAGUGAAAUAGAUCCUGAAACCGUAUGCGUACAAGCAGUCGGAGCGGACUUGUUCCGUGACGGCGUACCUUUUGUAUAAUGGGUCAACGACUUAGUGCAGCAAGCAAGCUUAAGCCGAUAGGUGUAGGCGCAGCGAAAGCGAGUCUUAAUAGGGCGUUGAGUUUGUGGGAUCAGACCCGAAACCGAGUGAUCUA